rnacentral:rRNA from 1 species
AGCUCCAAUAGCAUAUAUUAAAGUUGUUGCGGUUAAAAGCUCGUAGUUGGAUUUCUGUUCAGGACGAUCGGUCCGCCCUCUGGGUGAGUAUCUGGCUCGGCCUUUGCAUCUUCUUGAAGAACGCAACUGCACUUGACUGUGUGGUGCGGUAUACAAGACUUUUACUUUGAGGAAAUAAGAAUGUUUGAAGCAGGCACAUGCCUUGAAUACAUUAGCAUGGAAUAAUGAGAUAGGACCUCGGUUCUAUUUUGUUGGUUUCUAGGAUUGAGGUAAUGAUUAAUAGGGAUAGUUGGGGGCAUUCGUAUUUAAUUGUCAGAGGUGAAAUUCUUGGAUUUGUUAAAGACGGACUACUGUGAAAGCAUUUGCCAAGGAUGUUUUCA